rnacentral:rRNA from 1 species
GGUUAAGCGACUAAGCGUACACGGUGGAUGCCCUGGCAGUCAGAGGCGAUGAAGGACGUGCUAAUCUGCGAUAAGCGUCGGUAAGGUGAUAUGAACCGUUAUAACCGGCGAUUUCCGAAUGGGGAAACCCAGUGUGUUUCGACACACUAUCAUUAACUGAAUCCAUAGGUUAAUGAGGCGAACCGGGGGAACUGAAACAUCUAAGUACCCCGAGGAAAAGAAAUCAACCGAGAUUCCCCCAGUAGCGGCGAGCGAACGGGGAGGAGCCCAGAGCCUGAAUCAGUGUGUGUGUUAGUGGAAGCGUCUGGAAAGGCGCGCGAUACAGGGUGACAGCCCCGUACACAAAAAUGCACAUACUGUGAGCUCGAUGAGUAGGGCGGGACACGUGGUAUCCUGUCUGAAUAUGGGGGGACCAUCCUCCAAGGCUAAAUACUCCUGACUGACCGAUAGUGAACCAGUACCGUGAGGGAAAGGCGAAAAGAACCCCGGCGAGGGGAGUGAAAAAGAACCUGAAACCGUGUACGUACAAGCAGUGGGAGCCUCUUUUAUGGGGUGACUGCGUACCUUUUGUAUAAUGGGUCAGCGACUUAUAUUCUGUAGCAAGGUUAACCGAAUAGGGGAGCCGAAGGGAAACCGAGUCUUAACUGGGCGUUAAGUUGCAGGGUAUAGACCCGAAACCCGGUGAUCUAGCCAUGGGCAGGUUGAAGGUUGGGUAACACUAACUGGAGGACCGAACCGACUAAUGUUGAAAAAUUAGCGGAUGACUUGUGGCUGGGGGUGAAAGGCCAAUCAAACCGGGAGAUAGCUGGUUCUCCCCGAAAGCUAUUUAGGUAGCGCCUCGUGAAUUCAUCUCCGGGGGUAGAGCACUGUUUCGGCAAGGGGGUCAUCCCGACUUACCAACCCGAUGCAAACUGCGAAUACCGGAGAAUGUUAUCACGGGAGACACACGGCGGGUGCUAACGUCCGUCGUGAAGAGGGAAACAACCCAGACCGCCAGCUAAGGUCCCAAAGUCAUGGUUAAGUGGGAAACGAUGUGGGAAGGCCCAGACAGCCAGGAUGUUGGCUUAGAAGCAGCCAUCAUUUAAAGAAAGCGUAAUAGCUCACUGGUCGAGUCGGCCUGCGCGGAAGAUGUAACGGGGCUAAACCAUGCACCGAAGCUGCGGCAGCGACGCUUAUGCGUUGUUGGGUAGGGGAGCGUUCUGUAAGCCUGCGAAGGUGUGCUGUGAGGCAUGCUGGAGGUAUCAGAAGUGCGAAUGCUGACAUAAGUAACGAUAAAGCGGGUGAAAAGCCCGCUCGCCGGAAGACCAAGGGUUCCUGUCCAACGUUAAUCGGGGCAGGGUGAGUCGACCCCUAAGGCGAGGCCGAAAGGCGUAGUCGAUGGGAAACAGGUUAAUAUUCCUGUACUUGGUGUUACUGCGAAGGGGGGACGGAGAAGGCUAUGUUGGCCGGGCGACGGUUGUCCCGGUUUAAGCGUGUAGGCUGGUUUUCCAGGCAAAUCCGGAAAAUCAAGGCUGAGGCGUGAUGACGAGGCACUACGGUGCUGAAGCAACAAAUGCCCUGCUUCCAGGAAAAGCCUCUAAGCAUCAGGUAACAUCAAAUCGUACCCCAAACCGACACAGGUGGUCAGGUAGAGAAUACCAAGGCGCUUGAGAGAACUCGGGUGAAGGAACUAGGCAAAAUGGUGCCGUAACUUCGGGAGAAGGCACGCUGAUAUGUAGGUGAAGCGACUUGCUCGUGGAGCUGAAAUCAGUCGAAGAUACCAGCUGGCUGCAACUGUUUAUUAAAAACACAGCACUGUGCAAACACGAAAGUGGACGUAUACGGUGUGACGCCUGCCCGGUGCCGGAAGGUUAAUUGAUGGGGUUAGCGGUAACGCGAAGCUCUUGAUCGAAGCCCCGGUAAACGGCGGCCGUAACUAUAACGGUCCUAAGGUAGCGAAAUUCCUUGUCGGGUAAGUUCCGACCUGCACGAAUGGCGUAAUGAUGGCCAGGCUGUCUCCACCCGAGACUCAGUGAAAUUGAACUCGCUGUGAAGAUGCAGUGUACCCGCGGCAAGACGGAAAGACCCCGUGAACCUUUACUAUAGCUUGACACUGAACAUUGAGCCUUGAUGUGUAGGAUAGGUGGGAGGCUUUGAAGUGUGG